rnacentral:rRNA from 1 species
GACGAACGCUGGCGGCGUGCUUAACACAUGCAAGUCGAACGGAAAGGCCCUGCUUUUGUGGGGUGCUCGAGUGGCGAACGGGUGAGUAACACGUGAGUAACCUGCCCUUGACUUUGGGAUAACUUCAGGAAACUGGGGCUAAUACCGGAUAGGAGCUCCUGCUGCAUGGUGGGGGUUGGAAAGUUUCGGCGGUUGGGGAUGGACUCGCGGCUUAUCAGCUUGUUGGUGGGGUAGUGGCUUACCAAGGCUUUGACGGGUAGCCGGCCUGAGAGGGUGACCGGCCACAUUGGGACUGAGAUACGACCCAGACUCCUACAGGAGGCAGCAGUGUCGAAUAUUCCACAAUGGGCGGAAGCCUGAUGCAGCAACGCCGCGUGCGGGAUGACGGCCUUCGGGUUGUAAACCGCUUUCGCCUGUGACGAAGCGUGAGUGACGGUAAUGGGUAAAGAAGCACCGGCUAACUACGUG